AGCGAACGCUGGCGGCAGGCCUAACACAUGCAAGUCGAGCGCCGUAGCAAUACGGAGCGGCAGACGGGAGAGUAACACGUGGGAACGUACCCUUUGGUUCGGAACAACCCAGGGAAACUUGGGCUAAUACCGGAUAAGCCCUCACGGGGAAAGAUUCAUCGCCGAAGGAUCGGCCCGCGUCUGAUUAGCUAGUUGGUGGGGUAAUGGCCACCAAGGCGACGAUCAGUAGCUGGUCUGAGAGGAUGAUCAGCCUCACUGGGACUGAGACACGGCCCAGACUCCUACGGGAGGCAGCAGUGGGGAAUAUUGGACAAUGGGCGCAAGCCUGAUCCAGCCAUGCCGCGUGGGUGAUGAAGGCCCUAGGGUUGUAAAGCCCUUUCGGCGGGGAAGAUAAUGACGGUACCCGCAGAAGAAGCCCCGGCUAACUUCGUGCCAGCCGCCGCAGUAAAAC
rnacentral:rRNA from 1 species